CAACAUCUUCCAGUGAGUAGUCAAUAGGUAGAACAUUCCACAUGGACCAUCUACACAUGUCCUCCUGGAUGUUUGCCCCAUGACAGCCCAGAGGAGACAUCAUUUUUCAAUCAUCUCUGCAUCUCAACUUUAAUAUUUUAUACAUAAUCCUAUUGCAGCCUUGAUUCAGGAAUAUUCUAGAGGUGGCACCUGCAAUCAAGCCUCCUCCUGCUCACUGUUGGUAGUUCAGGCACAGCAAGAAGACAGCUGCCUGCAAGCCAGGAAGAGAGCCCUCACCAGGAACCAAAUAGCCUAGUGCCUUGAUUUUCGACUUCCCAGGCUCCAGAAUGGAGGCCCAUCUACUGGAAACUCCUAGGAUGAUUCCAGGCUGAAAGGAGGGUGCACAGUGCUUCAGCUAUGGAUUUCUAGUCCAAACUCUGCCAACUUCCAGCUGUGUGUCCUUGAGCAAGUUACUGAACAUUUCUGGGCCUGUACCCUCAUCUGUAACAUGAUGAUAAUCAUAGUACACCCACCCCUUACCUCAAAGCGUUGUUGUAGACUUCAAGUAGGAAACUGUGUUUGUGAUGACCUUGGCACAGUGCCUGACCCCUGGUGAUUUUUCAACAAAACCAGCUACUCUCACAGACAACUCGUCUUCCAAUUGUUCUGGAAACUUCUGUCAUCUCUCUCUGAGAUGCCAAUUUUAUCCAAAGGAUGCUAUGUGGCCUUCAUAAUGUGGAGCCCCAGCCAAACACAUUUCACUCAUUAAUUUAUCCAACAAACAUUUACUAAGCUCUUACUAUGUGCCAAGCACUAAAAUCGAUUCUGCUGAUAAAAACAUGACUAAUACACCAUCCUGUUAAGAAUUUACUGACAUUGGACAAGACAGACUUAGAAGCAACCUGGCAGGCUGGAGGAGUCUGUAGCAUAAACAGGCAGAAGGAACUCCUAAAGUAGGGCUUUGCUGACCCAACUAUCUUUGGCUGCUUCAUGGCAAAGGCAAGACUUAGAAGUAGCCAGGGGCCCUUCUGUGGAGUCUUGAACAGCAGGCCACCAUAGCCCUGGGGCAAGGUCGUGGAUACCACCAUGCAGGCUGGGCCUCAUUAGAGUCAUGGCUCAACUUUAUAAGGGCCAUAACAUCAGCAGGGCCAAAGUGAGGCUGAGUCCACCAGAAAAGGUGGGAGACACGGGCUGUAACCAAAGCCAAAGAAAGAGACUAGAUCACAAAGUAUACAAGGCACAGAUUUGGCUUAAAAUGCCAACAGAACAAAGACCAGCCAUGGGGACAAGGGUGUGGCUCUGGAGACCAAAGGGGCUGGAGAACCCUGAAACUUCUCCCUCUACCAUGAUGUUACAUAAAGCCCCCUCCUUCUUUCUUCCCCCUGAGUAAGAGGACUAGGAGGACAGAGGAAUAGAGUGGGAGACUGAGCAGCUUUUGUUUUGGAGACUGGCAUUUCCAAA